ACUGCUCAGUAACACGUGGAUAACCUGCCCUUGGGUCCGGCAUAACCCCGGGAAACUGGGGAUAAUUCUGGAUAACGCACAUAUGCUGGAAUGCUUUAUGCGUAAAAUGGAUUCGUCUGCCCAAGGAUGGGUCUGCGGCCUAUCAGGUAGUAGUGGGUGUAAUGUACCUACUAGCCAACAACGGGUACGGGUUGUGAGAGCAAGAGCCCGGAGAUGGAUUCUGAGACAUGAAUCCAGGCCCUACGAGGCGCAGCAGGCGCGAAAACUUUACAAUGCGGGAAACCGUGAUAAGGGGACACCGAGUGCCAGCAUCAUAUGCUGGCUGUCCAGGUGUGUAAACUACACCUGUUAGCAAGGGCCGGGCAAGACCGGUGCCAGCCGCCGCGGUAACACCGGCGGCCCGAGUGGUGAUCGUGAUUAUUGGGUCUAAAGGGUCCGUAGCCGGUUUGGUCAGUCCUCCGGGAAAUCUGAUAGCUCAACUAUUAGGCUUUCGGGGGAUACUGCCAGGCUUGGAACCGGGAGAGGUAAGAGGUACUACAGGGGUAGGAGUGAAAUCUUGUAAUCCCUGUGGGACCACCUGUGGCGAAGGCGUCUUACCAGAACGGGUUCGACGGUGAGGGACGAAAGCUGGGGGCACGAACCGGAUUAGAUACCCGGGUAGUCCCAGCCGUAAACGAUGCUCGCUAGGUGUCAGGCAUGGCGCGACCGUGUCUGGUGCCGCAGGGAAAGCCGUGAAGCGGGCCACCUGGGAAGUACGGCCGCAAGGCUGAAACUUAAAGGAAUUGGCGGGGGAGCAC
rnacentral:rRNA from 1 species